AAUCCUACCGUGGCAGACUUACUGGAUUAACAAGCAAACAGGUUUCCAUACCUCCUGAACGACAAGCUCAAGACAAGGGGACUUGAAUGUAAAAAAACUCUCUCUACCACAACCUCUCAAAGCACCCAAAACUUAUUGAUGGCUUACCGAUCGGUAGGACAAUUGCAGAACGUGAAUGAGCCCAUCGCAUGGAUGGUACAAAUCCAUCCUUGCUGAAAACCUCAAUAUUUUC
rnacentral:lncRNA from 1 species